GCAGCUACACAUGCAAGUCGAACGGUAACAGGAAGAAGCUUGCUUCUUUGCUGACGAGUGGCGGACGGGUGAGUAAUGUCUGGGAAACUGCCUGAUGGAGGGGGAUAACUACUGGAAACGGUAGCUAAUACCGCAUAACGUCGCAAGACCAAAGAGGGGGACCUUCGGGCCUCUUGCCAUCGGAUGUGCCCAGAUGGGAUUAGCUAGUAGGUGGGGUAAAGGCUCACCUAGGCGACGAUCCCUAGCUGGUCUGAGAGGAUGACCAGCCACACUGGAACUGAGACACGGUCCAGACUCCUACGGGAGGCAGCAGUGGGGAAUAUUGCACAAUGGGCGCAAGCCUGAUGCAGCCAUGCCGCGUGUAUGAAGAAGGCCUUCGGGUUGUAAAGUACUUUCAGCGGGGAGGAAGGGAGUAAAGUUAAUACCUUUGCUCAUUGACGUUACCCGCAGAAGAAGCACCGGCUAACUCCGUGCCAGCAGCCGCGGUAAUACGGAGGGUGCAAGCGUUAAUCGGAAUUACUGGGCGUAAAGCGCACGCAGGCGGUUUGUUAAGUCAGAUGUGAAAUCCCCGGGCUCAACCUGGGAACUGCAUCUGAUACUGGCAAGCUUGAGUCUCGUAGAGGGGGGUAGAAUUCCAGGUGUAGCGGUGAAAUGCGUAGAGAUCUGGAGGAAUACCGGUGGCGAAGGCGGCCCCCUGGACGAAGACUGACGCUCAGGUGCGAAAGCGUGGGGAGCAAACAGGAUUAGAUACCCUGGUAGUCCACGCCGUAAACGAUGUCGACUUGGAGGUUGUGCCCUUGAGGCGUGGCUUCCGGAGCUAACGCGUUAAGUCGACCGCCUGGGGAGUACGGCCGCAAGGUUAAAACUCAAAUGAAUUGACGGGGGCCCGCACAAGCGGUGGAGCAUGUGGUUUAAUUCGAUGCAACGCGAAGAACCUUACCUGGUCUUGACAUCCACGGAAGUUUUCAGAGAUGAGAAUGUGCCUUCGGGAACCGUGAGACAGGUGCUGCAUGGCUGUCGUCAGCUCGUGUUGUGAAAUGUUGGGUUAAGUCCCGCAACGAGCGCAACCCUUAUCCUUUGUUGCCAGCGGUCCGGCCGGGAACUCAAAGGAGACUGCCAGUGAUAAACUGGAGGAAGGUGGGGGAAUAACCU
rnacentral:rRNA from 1 species